UAAAAGGGUGUCCACCGUACUGAGUGGCGCGCGGUCCACCAUGGGGGAUGGCUCUCAAGACAUAGCCAACACGUAAUUUUUAGUACCAGAGGGAAGUUCGACGCUGUAGCUCAGACGCCCUC